UACGUAGGGUGCAAGCGUUGUCCGGAAUUAUUGGGCGUAAAGAGCUCGUAGGCGGUCUGUUGCGUCGGCUGUGAAAACCCGGGGCUCAACCCCGGGCCUGCAGCCGAUACGGGCAGACUAGAGUUCGGCAGGGGAGACUGGAAUUCCGGGUGUAGCGGUGAAAUGCGCAGAUAUCAGGAGGAACACCGGUGGCGAAGGCGGGUCUCUGGGCCGAUACUGACGCUGAGGAGCGAAAGCGUGGGGAGCGAACAGG
rnacentral:rRNA from 1 species